UGUCCAGCGUCUCCCACCCGGGCACCCGGCCACCCCUAACCUCUGCGCAUCUUAUCCAGUCGCGUUCUGGAGCCGCCCUAGAGGAAGUCCCGCCGCUCUACUCGCGGACAGCAGGCACAGCCGUCCCAGAGCUCCUCCCGCCGGUCUUCUCGUCAUCGCCGUCUCAGAUCUCCUCCGCCUCUCCCAUCGCCUCUGGCCGAGCUCUGCUGAUGGCGCGUGGCUCUACUCCCGCCAGGCUGGGGAGGGAAGGAAGGACAAGCCACGACCCUGAAAUGGAUCCCAGGCGUGGAGAGAUGGAGGCAUCUUCUUGACUCUUGGAGGUAAUGGUUUAGGAUUAGGAGACACAGGCCAUGCAGACUCAUGCUCCACUCGUUGCAGGACAUGCUGGGCAGCACAAGCAUGUCGACAUGGGAUACCUGACAAUUGCCAAUAUCUGCAGGAGCAUGUCUUCUGUCCUAGAUCAACUGUGAACCUCCAUUUUUUGUCCCUCACUUCAAAACCAGCAGCACCAUUCCAUAAGACAUGGCAAUACUGAGUUGCAUGCCUUAUCUUAUUUACCUUCCUGAGAAUGUUGGGGCAUAUAGCCAUUGUCCAUCUCUCACCAUUACUCUUGUUCUCUUGGAUCCUUCUAGUCACCAUGGUACGUAUGUCCUCUAACAUAGCUAUGAUAGGUUUAAAUCUUGCGUCUAUGAUCCAGCUGUUGAAUGAUUCACUGACAUUGUUAUCAACUGACUCACAAUUGGACCCAUCCUUGAACCAAGCCCGACACCAAUGAACUGGAUCUUGUUUUUCCAAUGCUUCCCAUCCUUUAGGUGUUUUGGCUGCCAGCUUAUUCUUGUAAUGAUUGAACAUCAUCUCAUUACUUGCCUUUGCAAUCUUCCAAAACCUCUUUUGGUACUCCUGGAGCCUAUGUUUUUUUCUCCAAUUUGCAUAAAUGUGCCGUGCACACAUUUGAUGCUCUGCCAUUGGAAAGUAUUGUUCAAUUGCCUUCAACAAACCCUUCUGUUUGUCUGUAAUGAAUACCCAUCCAUCGGCACCAUAUGGGAUAUUCAAAUAUUUUUGUAGGUGACUAAGAAACCAUUUCCAUGAGCUUAAAUUCUCAUAUUCCUCAAUAGCCCAAGCUAUAGGAUAAAUCUGAUUGUUUGCAUCUUUUCCAAUAGCUGACAAUAGCUCUCCCUUCAUAGGACCCUUUAGAAAGCAACCAUCAAGCCUUAUCACCCUCCUGCAUCCAUCUAAGAAACCCCGUCGACAGGCAUCAAGGCAAAUAUACAUUCUGUGAAAGACAUGUUCCUCUUCUUCAGGAUCCAGGGCAAUGUGCACACUACUUCCAGGAUUACUACGCUUUAGCUCAAGAGCGUAGUCAAACAGCCUAGAAUACUCACCACUCCGAGCAUCCAUUACCUUCCUGAUAACCUUCACUUUUGCUCUUUUCACCAUUGUCAUAGAAACCUCCACACCCAUGUCUUCUUGUAUAGUCUCCUUCAUUGCUCUAGCCUUCCAUCCUGGGUUAGCCUUGAUAGUGCUCUCAUAUUGGUCACAUAUUCUAGCUAUUGAUAACCUCUUGUUUUUCAAGACUGGGCAACAUGCAUGGGUGGGAUUGUAUGUGACAAUCUGAAACCAGUCACUUUUGGAGUUGUAUGAAACAUGCAAUACCCAAGGACAACCUUUCCAUGAGCAAACUGCCCUCAACCUCUGCUUGUCAUUCUUGGGAAACCUAAUAUUCACCUUCUUUUUCAGAGCAUACCUUUCUAUUGCAUCCUUCAAUUGCUUUUUGCCUCUAAAGCACAUGUCUAAGGCAAACUGAGGUGUAUCUGCAUGGCUAUCAAAUAUAGGGAACCUGCACUUCCUUCUCUUAGCAUCUGUGUCACUGUCAUCAUCAUAAGAUACAUCUUCAUCUGAGUCAAAAUAUGCAAUGCCAUCUCCAAAAUCAUUCUCCCGAGUGAUACUUUCCCUGUUACUGUCAUUCCCUGUUGGAGGAUCCAUUGAGGUUGGGAUAUCCAAUGGUAUGCCUUCUCUCUUUUUCCUUUUAGACAUAUAUGCUUUGUAGUUAGUCCUUAUCUCCUUAGCUUCAUCAUCCUCAUCAGAUGUAAAUCCUGUGACAUCAUAUUCAGUAUCUGCCUCUUCUUCUUCUUCAACUUGUGCACCAUUUUGUGCAUCCUCUUGUGUGGUUGGAUCAUCCAAAUUCAACAUGUUUUCCUCUUCUGCAGUUUGGUCAAACCCAGCUCGCAGUAGCUGCGGGCCGGCGCCCAGGCGAGGGGUUGGGGUGGGUGGCAGGUCAAACAAGGGGCAUGCUAGUCUUUUUCUGCGGUCUGUCGCCCCUAAACUGACGGCGUGAACGGAAAAACGGGUGGGAGGACGUAACUGAGUCGAAAUUCAGGAGUUUAGGGACUAAUUUGGUCUGUGGGAGAGUACAGGGACCAAGUUGACCCUUUGCAAAGAGUUGAGGGACGACUUUGCCUAUUUUGCCGGUAAAAAAGUAGUAUACCAACUACACACUACCAAUGAAAGAUGAUACUCCUUUCCAAGGACACAAAAUUAAGAUAUUAUUAGCAAAGUUGUUCCAUUUUAAUUUGUUAGUGGAAUGCCGACGUGCUAAUUGGACAAAAUGUGCAUGGUGCUACCUACCACGCUCCGCAUCAUUCCUCCAGGAAAACCAUUUCGUUCAGAGCUGUUUCCCUUGAAUGGGAAGCCAAUCGGGGUUAACUUUAAGCAAGUUGGCGCCCUCUAAUAACAACAAAGGGAAAUCCCACCACAAACGUACCAAGUUGUUCGCGGCAGUCCUUUUUAGCGAAUCACGAGUUUGUCAGAACUCGCUUGACCAGCAUCAGGAGGGCCUCCAUAGUCCAGACACACUUGGUACUAAUGACAAACUCGCUGAUGAAAGCGAGCCCCCUACUUCCCUUUCAAAUGUUCCAUCAUAGAUGUAAGGAACAUGGCCCCAUUAGGCCAUUGUUUUGUCAUUUCGGUGAUUGAGUAACAACGCAAUCAAUGGGACUAAUGAGUUUGGCAAGUGAACAAUUAUAGAUCACAGGAAUGAAGCAAAAAGGCCAAGCAAAGCAAAACACGAAAAAAGAACUCAAAGAAAGAUUGAAAUGGAUGAGUUCUGCAGAAACCAGUGGCACCGGAUGAUCCGAUACAGAGGCACCGGUCUAUCCGGUUGGCACCGGAUAAACCGACGCAUAGGCGUCGG